CCAAACAAGCCGAGCCAGGGACACACAGCUCCUCGCAGGAAUGGAGGGUUCCUGGGAUAUGAGGAGACUCUCCCACGUUCCCGCCUGACCCGGCACGACUGGGCAUGGAUGGCACCCCACCCCCGACGGGGGACAGUUGCAGGUGGGGAGGGGGCCCAACUCCCAGCCUCCCAUCAGGCGACCAGCCCCCAUGACAAGGAGGCUGGACUCUGGGCCUCCCAUGCAGCUGCAGGGGGGCCUGGGGAAGUGGGUGCCAGGAGCGUUUUGUUCGAGGCUGUGUCACUGUGUGCUGUAUUCGGCGGAGGCACCCACCUGACCAUCGCAGGUGGUCCCACGUCUGCACCCUCGGUCUCUCUCUUCCCGCCCUCCUCUGAGGAGCUCAGCGCCAACAAGGCCACAGUGGUGUGUCUCAUCAGUGACUUCUCCCCCAGCGACUUGACGGUGAGCUGGAAGGUAAAUGGCACCGCCACCACCCAGGGCGUCCAGACCACCAGGCCCUCGAAACAGAGCAACGGCAAGUACGCGGCCAGCAGCUACCUGACGCGGACUUCCGCACAGUGGAAAUCGUACAGCAGUGUCAGCUGCCAGGUCACGCACCAAGGGAAAACCGUGGAGAAGAAACUGUCCCCCUCAGAUUGUCCUUAGGUCCCCGAGUCGCCCACACCCUCAGGGACCUGCUGUCACGGGACCCCUAAGGGGGUCGACCCUUCCCACUCCGACACCUCCUUCUCCCUCCGCCCAAAUCCUUCUCAAUAAAACAUCCUCCUUCUCAAUCAGA